rnacentral:rRNA from 1 species
AGUGAACGCUGGCGGUAGGCCUAACACAUGCAAGUCGAACGGCAGCACAGUAAGAGCUUGCUCUUACGGGUGGCGAGUGGCGGACGGGUGAGGAAUACAUCGGAAUCUACUUUUUCGUGGGGGAUAACGUAGGGAAACUUACGCUAAUACCGCAUACGACCUACGGGUGAAAGCAGGGGAUCUUCGGACCUUGCGCGACUGAAUGAGCCGAUGUCGGAUUAGCUAGUUGGCGGGGUAAAGGCCCACCAAGGCGACGAUCCGUAGCUGGUCUGAGAGGAUGAUCAGCCACACUGGAACUGAGACACGGUCCAGACUCCUACGGGAGGCAGCAGUGGGGAAUAUUGGACAAUGGGCGCAAGCCUGACCCAGCCAUACCGCGUGAGUGAAGAAGGCCUUCGGGUUGUAAAGCCCUGUUGUUGGGAAAGAAAAGCAGCAGGUGAAUACCCCGCUGUUCUGACGGUACCCAAAGAAUAAGCACCGGCUAACUUCGUG